rnacentral:rRNA from 1 species
CGUGCAGGCGGCGGCUUAAGUCGUGCGUGAAAGCUCCCUGGCUCAACCGGGAGAGGUCGUACGAAACUAGGUCGCUAGAGGGCAGCAGAGGCGUGUGGAAUUCCGGGUGUAGUGGUGAAAUGCGUAGAUAUCCGGAGGAACACCAGUGGCGAAGGCGACACGCUGGGCUGUACCUGACGCUAAGACGCGAAAGCAUGGGUAGCGAACG